AGCAGUCGCCGCGGUAAUACGAAGGGUGCAAGCGUUACUCGGAAUUACUGGGCGUAAAGCGUGCGUAGGUGGUUGUUUAAGUCUGCUGUGAAAGCCCUGGGCUCAACCUGGGAAUUGCAGUGGAUACUGGGCAACUAGAGUAAGGUAGAGGAUAGUGGAAUUUCCGGUGUAGCAGUGAAAUGCGUAGAGAUCGGAAGGAACAUCUGUGGCGAAGGCGACUAUCUGGGCCAUUACUGACACUGAGGCACGAAAGCGUGGGGAGCAAACAGGAUUAGAUACCCGUGUAGUCCCUGUCUCUUAUAC
rnacentral:rRNA from 1 species